GACGAACGCUGGCGGCGUGCUUAACACAUGCAAGUCGAACGGAAAGGCCCUGCUUUUGUAGGGUGCUCGAGUGGCGAACGGGUGAGUAACACGUGAGUAACCUGCCCUUGACUUUGGGAUAACUUCAGGAAACUGGGGCUAAUACCGGAUAGGAGCUCCUGCUGCAUGGUGGGGGUUGGAAAGUUUCGGCGGGUGGGGAUGGACUCGCGGCUUGUCAGCUUGUUGGUGGGGUAGUGGCUUACCAAGGCUUUGACGGGUAGCCGGCCUGAGAGGGUGACCGGCCAACUGGGGACUAGGAUACGACCCAGGGUUCUUCGGGAGGGAGCAGUGGGGAAUAUUGUACAAUCGGCGGAAGCCUGAUGCAGCAACGCCGCGUGCGGGAUGAGGGCCGUCUGGUUGUAAAACGCUUUCGCCUGUGACGAAGCGUGAGUGACGGUAAUGGGUAAAGAAGCACCGGCUAACUACGUG
rnacentral:rRNA from 1 species